rnacentral:rRNA from 1 species
CCUACGGGUGGCAGCAGUGGGGAAUAUUGGGCAAUGGGCGCAAGCCUGACCCAGCAACGCCGCGUGAAGGAAGAAGGCUUUCGGGUUGUAAACUUCUUUUAAGAGGGAAGAGCAGAAGACGGUACCUCUUGAAUAAGCCACGGCUAACUACGUGCCAGCAGCCGCGGUAAUACGUAGGUGGCAAGCGUUGUCCGGAUUUACUGGGGGUAAAGGGCGUGCAGCCGGGAAGACAAGUCAGAUGUGAAAUCCCGCGGCUCAACCGCGGAACUGCAUUUGAAACUGUUUUUCUUGAGUACCGGAGAGGUCAUCGGAAUUCCAUGUGAAGCGGUGAAAUGCGUAGAUAUAAGGAAGAACACCAGGGGCGAAGGCAGAUGACUGGACGGCAACUGACGGUGAGGCGCGAAAGCGUGGGGAGCAAACAGGAUUAGAUACCCGAGUAGUC